AGGGGAACAAGACAGAUAUUUUUUUCCUGUAAAAGUGCAGCGCAAGAUAUUUUUUCCAAAUAUGGCAAUAUAUUUGGCGGCAGGAUUUUUAUUUUUGUCUCUCAUAAUAACGGCUUACAGUAACUUAAGGCUUUCAUAUAGCUGUCGUCAGAGACGUAGCCGGGGUUUUCAGUCAGAGGAGGCCGAGAACUGAAUCCCACGAGGGGCCAAGGAAUUUUCAC